rnacentral:rRNA from 1 species
UUUCCCUACGGGACGCAGCAGUCGAGAAUCAUUCACAGUGGGGGAAACCCUGAUGGUGCGACGCCGCGUGGGGGAAUGAAGGUCUUCGGAUUGUAAACCCCUGUCAUGUGGGAGCAAAUUAAAAAGAUAGUACCACAAGAGGAAGAGACGGCUAACUCUGUGCCAGCAGCCGCGGUAAUACAGAGGUCUCAAGCGUUGUUCGGAAUCACUGGGCGUACAGCGUGCGUAGGCUGUUUCGUAAGUCGUGUGUGAAAGGCGCGGGCUCAACCCGCGGACGGCACAUGAGACUGCGAGACU